CUGGCGGCAUGCCUAACCAUGCAAGUCGAACGAGGCCUUUCGGGGCCUAGUGGCGCACGGGUGCGUAACGCGUGGGAAUCUGCCCUUAGGUUCGGAAUAACCAUUGGAAACGAUGGCUAAUACCGGAUGAUGACGUAAGUCCAAAGAUUUAUCGCCUGAGGAUGAGCCCGCGUAGGAUUAGCUAGUUGGUGUGGUAAAGGCGCACCGAGGCGACGAUCCUUAGCUGGUCUGAGAGGAUGAUCAGCCACACUGGGACUGAGACACGGCCCAGACUCCUACGGGAGGCAGCAGUGGGGAAUAUUGGACAAUGGGCGAAAGCCUGAUCCAGCAAUGCCGCGUGAGUGAUGAAGGCCUUAGGGUUGUAAAGCUCUUUUACCCGGGAUGAUAAUGACAGUACCGGGAGAAUAAGCUCCGGCUAACUCCGUGCCAGCAGCCGCGGUAAU
rnacentral:rRNA from 1 species